rnacentral:rRNA from 1 species
UACGUAGGGACCAAGCGUUGUUCGGAUUUACUGGGCGUAAAGGGCGCGUAGGCGGCAAUUCAAGUCAGCUGUGAAAUCUCCGGGCUUAACUCGGAACGGUCAGCUGAUACUGCUUUGCUAGAGUGCAGAAGGGGCAAUCGGAAUUCUUGGUGUAGCGGUGAAAUGCGUAGAUAUCGGGAGGAACACCUGUGGCGAAAGCGGCGCACUGGACCAUAACUGACGCUGAGGCGCGAAAGCUAGGGGAGCAAACAGG